CAUUUUUUUCCAAUUUAAUUCCAAAGGACAAAACAGAAAACCAGCAUGUGCACUAAUAUUGACACCCCUCUUUAAUAUUUGGUUGCGCAGCCUUUGGCAGCAAUGACAGCCUCCAAACGUUCCUUAUAUUCAUCUAUACGCUUCUUGCACUUCUCGGGUGGCAUUUUCUCUCACACUUCUUUUGCAAUAUGCUCAAGCUCUUGCACAUUUGCUGGGUUCCUUCCUCCAAUGGCAGAUUUCAGCUCCACCCAAAGAUAUUCAAUUGGAUUGAGAUCAGGACUCAUUGCUGGCCAUUUUAAAACAGUCCAUUGUGUGCUUUGGGUCGUUGUCUUGCUGGAGGACCCAGGAUCUUCGCCGCAAACCAAGUUUCCUUACACUGGGCAAGACAUUUCGCUCUAGAAUUCCUUGAUAAUCUUCUGAUUUCAUGAUGCCUGUGAUACGGUCAAGGACUCCAGUACCAGAUGCCGCAAAGCAGCCCCACAGCAUUAUGGAUCCUCCACCAUGCUUUCCUGUUGGUAUGGUGUUCUCAUCUUUAAAGGCUUCAUUGCGCCGCCUGUAAACAUACUGUAUGUGUGAUUUACGGAAAAGCUCCACUUUUGUUUCAUCUGUCUAUAAAACGUUGUCCCAGAAGGUUUGUCCAGCUUCUCUUUGUCGAAGAUCAAACAUUCUUUUUUAUGUCUUUUCUUCAGCAAUGGGGUCUUCCUUGGCCUCCGCCCAUAAAGCCCCACUUUGUUUAGUGUGCGGCGUAUGGUACUUGUUGAAACAAUCACACCAGACUGCUCCAGGUUGGUCUUCAGGUCUUUAGUUGUUAGACGUGG